GACGAAGGGGGGCUAGCGUUGUUCGGAAUUACUGGGCGUAAAGCGAGUGUAGGUGGUUGUCCAAGUUGGAUGUGAAAGCCUUGAGCUCAACUCAAGAAAUGCAUUCAGGACUGGGCGGCUAGAGGACCGGAGAGGAUAGUGGAAUUCCCAGUGUAGUGGUGAAAAUACGUAGAGAUUGGGAAGAACACCAGUGGCGAAGGCGGCUAUCUGGACGGUUUCUGACACUAAGACUCGACAGCGUGGGGAUCAAACAGG
rnacentral:rRNA from 1 species